AAGCAGAGCGCAGGGAGCGUCUGUGGUGAGAUGCUCAGGUGAAAUUGCCUUCCCUGCACCAGCAGCCUGUUUGUGUCCACGUGAUGCAUGGUGAGGAGAAGCCUGCAGUUCUUGUGACAUACCUGGCCCGUCAGAUAAUUCAGCAGGGAGUGGUGCCUUCUUGCGAAGCUGUGGCAGUGUCCACAGGCCAGCCCCUGAAGCCCCAGUCAUCAAGACCCCGUACGUCAUGUCCAACGCCAUCUGUCUGAGCUGCCCCUGAUAGCUGAGGCUACCUCAUGUCCCCUCAAACUGCCAGGCAUCCAAGCUUCUCCUCCUCUACCAGCUCUCCACUGACUCCAACACCUUUGCCACCUCCCGUGUGGUGUGGUGGCAAUGCAUGGUGCUGGAUCAGGCCCAGACUCCCACCCUGACAGCAGGCCCGUUUCCAAAAGCUCUGCUCACUUCCUCAUCCUGCUGGCUCGUGAGAAGAUCCUGUUGUCAGCUCUGCCAACCAGCACAGCAGAGGUGGGAUUGUUGUGGGCAGCCUGGAAAACAGCAGGGGAAUAACCAUUUCCCCCUUUGGCUGUUAUCUGUUGAGAAAUGCUGUCUGGUGAGUGUUGAGUCAGGGCCUGAACCACUGAUGGAGCAUCUGGGGAAAGGACCCAGUCAGCCCUGGGAGCACAGGUGAGGGCAGUUCAGUUGUAUGAUGGAAUGAGGGGAGCCUGGCUGCACCUCUCCUAGACCUCAUUGAAGGGCUGACUGUGCAUGGGCAAGGAUCUCUGGUUGGAGAUCCCUCCCUUGUGGAGUUUUCCCUGUGAGCCUGGAUCUUCAGGGACAGGUGAGCACUUUGUCUUUGUAACACCAUCUGUUGUGCCAGUCCCUUUGUGGUUACACCUCCUUCCACUGCACUGAUCAUUCUGGUUGUUAGAGACGUCCUCUGCCCCUUCCCACCUGUAAAGCAAACAAGGCGAUGACAGAGCCUUGAUUUGAGAUAGAGGAGCUAUAGAACAGGAUAUCAAAGAAAGAGGAAUCGACUCAUCCCUCCCAGCUACAGUUUGGCAGAAAGCGGUGAGCUGAGGAAUGCAGCCUUCUGCGUUUGAACUGCGGUGUGCUGAAAGGAGGCAUUGUGCUUCCCAAGCAGUGCGUGGACCUUUCUGAUGGCAGUGAGCAGCAAGGAGCCGACUGGGUCUCAGCUUCCUUCCUGCCCUGCACUUGACUGAGGGACCUUGCGACCAGCUCAGAGAUCACAUCCCAGGUGCUGUCUGUCUGCCUGUGGUUCACAGAUUGGUGCCUGCUUGCUCUGAAGUUGGCUCUUGGGAUGCGGUGAUUCAGUGUCUCACUGACAGUGCGACAAGUAGGACCUGGUUCUAGCAGGAGAUUGGGCCAACAGAAAACAGCUGAUCCAGGAGCUCAGCUGGAUCCAGGCUGACCUGCUGCUUAUGGCCACCGUUGCUGUUUCACCAGUAGAACCCAAGAUGGACGGAAUCUCAAGCAGGCAGCUUGAGGAAGCCUGAGCCUGAAGGCCUGAAGCUUCAGAGAGGUGACUUCACUGCAUGAAGGCAGCACCAGGAGAGAAACAGCAGGAAACGUCUGAGUGCAGACUCAUCUCUAACACUGCAGCAAUAGGUUAGAUUUGGGAUCAGAGUGUUUUGCAGAGCUCCUGGUAGGAGUUGCUCUCUGGAGCCACAGCUCUGCAGUUAUUUGCCUUCUGGAGAUACAUAUUUAUUUGGAUUAACUUCACUGGAAGCCUAGACAGUGCUAGCUGAGUCUUGGCUAGCUGACUGUUGGAUGUGUGAAACGAGGUGGCAUAAAUUUGCCCUCACAGCUGUAAGUAGUGAGGUGAGAGUUAAACUCACCAUGGGGAAAGGCAAAGAUGGGAAUGCCUGCCCAAAACCAGCCUGGAAUUUGAGUGUGGUGAGCACAUCCCUCAUGCUAGUGACUCUAAACGCAGCGGUUGCUUUGAUUUACUAUUUGUUUGUCACAGUAAUGAUCCUUGUAGGAUCAGUUAUGAUCCAGGGCACUGCCUGCUCUGCACAAUAUGAGGAGUUGGACUCCAUGCACGCAACCAGGUGGUUGCAUCCAAGACGGAGUUGGGGGUUAAAAUGAUGCUGUUCUGUGUUGUCUGAGAUAGCAGAGAAAAUGCAGUAAGUAACAGCCUGCUUGCUGGAGCAAAGUGCUGCAAGGCACAGACACAUGGCUGGUGCUGGGUAUGUGUGCAAGCUGGAGAGAGAGCAGUGGUGCUGGAGUCGUGGGAGUGGGGGUCUCAUCAAACUUGCACAGCAGUUGCCUGGUAGAUGAUAUUUUUUUAUUCCUUCUGGUAUUACUUUGGUACACAGGACUCCCAGCCAGAAUCAGAGCUCUGAGGUCUGUUUUGAACUUUGUUAAUACAAAACUCUCUCACUUCCUUGCUUUCUUAGCUGGUAUGGACAGACCAAACUAACCAACCCCACUGGAGCCCUAACGCUCCUUUUGCAGCUACUUCAGACCUCUGCCAUCUCCCAUUGCUUGUUUCUGUUCUGGUGAUUUGGUCUGCAGACUUCAACGAGCUUGCAGUGCUGCUGUUGUUGCUGUUGUUUUUAAAGAGGAAAUGCCCAAAGGGUUCCGGUCUGAAAAGGACUCAUGCUUGCACUGUGACCAGGAGCAGCUCAGGGGUGUUCCUCGUUCUCACUUGGCCCCAAGUAUGAGAUGCACUGGGAUAGGGCUGCGUGCUGUGGAGAAGGCUGCACUGCUGUCAGUUGAGCCCAGAGUCUGCGUUGCUCUUGGUGCACGUUGGCGUCAAGCCUGUGUAGAACAUCGCUGCCCUCGGCUGGAAGGACUGACAGUCCUGGAAUCACAUCUCGUGGCUCACAAAGGACCCCAGCCUCCAGGUGCUCUGCUGCCAUGGCACGGCGGCCUGUCCUGUUGUCCCUAGAGGCUGGUUUGUGCCUGGUGCACGGUGCACUCAGACUCACGCGAGCCUUCCAUCAAGGGGGCAGUUGUUACUCUGGGAGCAGUUCCAGCCUGGGCUUCUGCUGGAGCUCCGUGGCGUUGCUUUCUCAGGUUGGUGGAGAAGUGGACUUCCCCAGUGAGAAGUACAAUUUCAGAAAGGGGCACAUGCAGAGAACCCAGAGGGAAAGCAAGGCAAACCUCACAAUGACUGCCACAAAACAAGUGCUACAAAGAGAGAAUUCACUGCCAGAAAUAGCUGACAGUCCAGUGAUAAAGGACUCCCUUCCCUUCCCUUCCCUUCCCUUCCCUUCCCUUCCCUUCCCUUCCCUUCCCUUCCCUUCCCUUCCCUUC